rnacentral:rRNA from 1 species
AUUGAACGCUGGCGGCAUGCCUUACACAUGCAAGUCGAACGGCAGCACGGGAGCAAUCCUGGUGGCGAGUGGCGAACGGGUGAGUAAUAUAUCGGAACGUGCCCAGUCGUGGGGGAUAACGCAGCGAAAGCUGUGCUAAUACCGCAUACGAUCUACGGAUGAAAGCGGGGGAUCGCAGGACCUCGCGCGAUUGGAGCGGCCGAUAUCAGAUUAGGUAGUUGGUGAGGUAAAGGCUCACCAAGCCGACGAUCUGUAGCUGGUCUGAGAGGACGACCAGCCACACUGGGACUGAGACACGGCCCAGACUCCUACGGGAGGCAGCAGUGGGGAAUUUUGGACAAUGGGCGCAAGCCUGAUCCAGCAAUACCGCGUGCAGGAUGAAGGCCUUCGGGUUGUAAACUGCUUUUGUACGGAACGAAACGGCGAGCUCUAAUACAGUUUGCUAAUGACGGUACCGUAAGAAUAAGCACCGGCUAACUACGUGCCAGCCGCCGCGGUAA